rnacentral:rRNA from 1 species
AUAUUGGACAAUGGGGGAAACCCUGAUCCAGCAAUGCCGCGUGAGUGAAGAAGGCCUUAGGGUUGUAAAGCUCUUUCGCCCGCGAAGAUAAUGACGGUGGCGGGAGAAGAAGCCCCGGCUAACUCCGUGCCAGCAGCCGCGGUAAUACGGAGGGGGCUAGCGUUGUUCGGAAUUACUGGGCGUAAAGCGUACGUAGGCGGAUGCGCAUGUUGGGGGUGAAAUCCCGGGGCUUAACCUCGGAAUUGCCCUCAAAACUGCACGUCUUGAGACCGAGAGAGGUAAGGGGAAUUCCUAGUGUAGAGGUGAAAGUCGUAGAUAUUAGGAAGAACACCAGUGGCGAAGGCGCCUUACUGGCUCGGUACUGACGCUGAGGUACGAAAGCGUGGGGAGCAAACA